rnacentral:tRNA from 1 species
GGGGAAGUAGGCCAACAGGUAGAGUCGUGGGACUUAAAAUUCCAACAGUGAGGGUUCGAAUCCCUCCUUCCCUACCA